rfam:Salmo salar isolate Sally breed double haploid chromosome ssa09, whole genome shotgun sequence.
UUCCCUGUGGCUCAGUUGGUAGAGCAUGGUGUUUGCAACGCCAGCAUGGUGUGUGCAACGCCAGGGUUGUGGGUUCGAUUCCCACGGGGGGAC